GCGGAAGUAGCUCAGUUGGUAGAGCACAACCUUGCCAAGGUUGGGGUCGCGAGUUCGAGUCUCGUUUUCCGCU
rnacentral:tRNA from 5 species